AUUGAACGCUGGCGGCAUGCCUAACACAUGCAAGUCGAACGAGUGGCGGACGGGUGAGUAAUGUCUGGGAAACUGCCUAUUGGAGGGGGAUAACUACUGGAAACGGUAGCUCAUACCGCAUACCAUCGAAUGUGCCCAGAUAGGCUUAGCUUGUUGGUGGGGUAAAGGCUCACCAAGGCGACGAUCCCUAGCUGGUCUGAGAGGAUGACCAGCCACACUGGAAUGGAGACACGGUCCAGACUCCUACGGGAGGCAGCAGUGGGGAAUAUUGCACAAUGGGCGCAAGCCUGAUCCAGCCAUGCCGCGUGUAUUAAGAAGGCCUUCGGGUUGUAAAGUACUUUCAGCGGGGAGGCGUUACCCGCAGAAGAAGCACCGGCUAACUCCGUGCCAGCCGCCGCGGUAAUUC
rnacentral:rRNA from 1 species